ensembl:lncRNA
GAGACAGGUCACGGAUAGCUCGUGCGGAAUUUUCUAACAUUUUGGCUAGGUUUUUUUCCCUUGUCCGUGUGGAAGGAACUAAGAUUUUGGAUUCCAAUGGAUUCUCUCCGGAUGGAGAUGGCGAGCCUGAGCCCAGACUGAACUUUGCAGAGGAACUUACUCUUCUUCCUCGACGGAGACUCCCAAGUGGUAACACACAAACCACAAACGAAAGAGAACAAGAACUAGACUAAGAAUUUUUGACUUGACAAAUGACCAAAGACAAAAAGACAAUUGAAUAUUGAGCUCAAACGACUAUUUCUGGGGUUAUUUUUGUUUUGCCGGCUUCUUCCUCUUAUUGUUAUGGUUAUUAUCACUACUACUGUCAAUGUGGAAUUUGUGUCUUGUUUAUUUCAUUUUUGUGCAAAAUAAUAACUGUUGCUGCUCAAAUUCCUGUCUCCAGCCAUUUCAUUCUGCAUUCGCCUCGCUUUCUAUUGUAGCCCUGCCGAACCUAGCAACUGGUCCGUAGUUUGGCUGUCCUAAACUAUUUAAAAUGAGUCAGUGGUUACACUAGACUCUAAUGUGAGACUGUCUGUCUGCCAGCUAAAGUGUGGCUGACACUGGGGUCAUGCAACAGGACAGUGAUCCCAAGCACAGCAACAAAUCUACAACAGAAAGCCUGAAAAGGAAAAGUCCAGACCUCAAAUCUGCUUAAAUCCUGUGGAGGGACCUUGUGAGCUGUGGACUGCAAACCUCGGUGAACUAAAGCAAUUCUGUAAAGAAGAAGGGCCAGGAUUCCUCCACAAUGAAGAGAGAAGCUGAUAAAUAAUUACUUUGAGUUAUUGCUGUUAAAAGUGGUUCUACAAGCUACUGCACAAUGGCAUGUAAUGUAUUUUUCACACACAGCUUUUGCCUUUUGGCUUAAUUUUUGUUAAAUAAAUAAUGACACAGUGCAAUAUGUUAAGUGUUGUUGUUAUUAUGUCAUGAAUUGUAAAUCCUUGAAACUGACAGAUGAUGCAUUUUUUAUUUUAACCAUUACUAUAAAAUGCAUCAUAAUAUCAACUUUAAAA